rnacentral:rRNA from 1 species
AGUGAACGCUGGCGGUAGGCCUAACACAUGCAAGUCGAACGGCAGCACAGUAAGAGCUUGCUCUUACGGGUGGCGAGUGGCGGACGGGUGAGGAAUACAUCGGAAUCUACUUUUUCGUGGGGGAUAACGUAGGGAAACUUACGCUAAUACCGCAUACGACCUACGGGUGAAAGCAGUGGAUCUUCGGACCUUGCGCGAUUGAAUGAGCCGAUGUCGGAUUAGCUAGUUGGCGGGGUAAAGGCCCAACUAGGCGACGAUCCGUAGCUGGUCUGAGAGGAUGAUCAGCCACAAUGGAACUGGGACACGGUCCAGACUCCUACGGGAGGCAGCAGUGGGGAAUAUUGGACAAUGGGCGGAAGCCUGGUCCAGCCAUACCGCGUGGGUGAAGGAGGCCUUCGGGUUGUAAAGCCCUUUUGUUGGGAAAGAAAAGCAGCAGGUUAAUACCCCGCUGUUCUGACGGUACCCAAAGAAUAAGCACCGGCUAACUUCGUG